rnacentral:rRNA from 1 species
UACGUAGGGGGCGAGCGUUGUCCGGAUUUAUUGGGCGUAAAGAGCGUGUAGGCGGCCAGGUAGGUCUGCUGUGAAACUCGAGGCUCAACCUCGAGACGUCGGCGGAAACCAUCUGGCUAGAGUCCGGAAGAGGAGAGUGGAAUUCCUGGUGUAGCGGUGAAAUGCGCAGAUAUCAGGAAGAACACCCGUGGCGAAGGCGGCUCUCUGGGACGGUACUGACACUGAGGCGCGAAAGCGUGGGGAGCCGAACAGG